rnacentral:lncRNA from 1 species
CGAGGAUUGCUUUUAUUAUGAACUUCAGAGCUGCGCUUGGAGAGAGCCAUAGGACGCGCUACCAACAUCAGGCUAAUGGAACGUGAAGUAUGGACUUUUUGACCGAAAAUACAUCUGUUGUGGACCUGGGAUGCUUUCUGAUGAAGACAACUAAAGGCCACUUACAAAACCUGGUGGAAAACAUCAGGAAUGGUUACAGAGGUGGAGGCCCUGGCCGACACAAGUCGCGCUUCAGAGAAAUGGAUGACACUUGAAUCAGGAGCUGGGUCGGAUAUAGGAGCUAAAGUCAGGCUCCUUCAUGACCAGUAUCUGUGACAAGAGGGACCUGGAGCUGAUCUACACUGCCAUGCCCAUCAGGCAUGGCAAACACCUUCAGAAGGGAC